GCUUCUGUUCACAAACAAAAGACCUACAGAUCAAAAAGGAAACCAGGAGCUAUCUUGGGAUUCAACAUCAUUCAUUACCCUUUGGAAUGUUACAAGAUAAUGAAAUAACUCCCAGCGUUUUGCACGCAACAUCUGUAAUCUGUAACAUCUGCAAUACUGACUUUUUCUAAACAGAUGCUUUUAUCACCUCUGUCUCUUCUGAAGGCUGUCAUCAGCCCCUGAUACCUUGCCCAAGUGACCAUUGUUUACUGACUCAGCCUAUGCUGUGUGGUUAAUGGAAGCAUUUUUAUCAGUAUCACAGUGGCUAGUGCUCUAAGAAGGGAGUGUGGCUCGUCUUUCUCCCAAUGCUCCAGUGGUGUGAUGAAGUUCUUUGAGAGACUGGAUGCUCCACAUUUCUGAAGAAGCUGGGCUUGGAAGACCCAGCCAGGAACAUGGAGCAGAGCCAGGGCACAGACAGGUCCCCGGAGUGAUUUCGAGGAAGUAAUCUUAUCUGGUGGUUCAGAUGACAGUUCCAAGCCAGAAGAGUGCCUGUUUUGUGAUAUCAUCUUCAGAUCUUGAUUAGAUUACUCUCAUGUAUGUAUAAUUCUCAUUUGAUUUUGCUGCACAAUUGCUGUUGUUGUCUUCACAAAUCUCAAAACAUGAAUCAAACUAUUUUCAGUGUAAACAUGUCUGAUUUGUAUAUGCAAAUUCAUCACAGAGUGAUUUCCAUAUGAUUCAAAUUUGCAAAGAUAUUCUGAAGUGCUUGUUUGUGAACCUGUAUUGUACUCUGUCUACAGCAUAUAUAUAUAUGUACAUUUUCAGCCUCAAUGAAAAGCCGCAUAAAAUGAGAAAUACA